GACGAACGCUGGCGGCGUGCUUAACACAUGCAAGUCGAACGGAAAGGCCCUGCUUUUGUGGGGUGCUAGAGUGGCGAACGGGUGAGUAACACGUGAGUAACCUGCCCUUGACUUUGGGAUAACUUCAGGAAACUGGGGCUAAUACCGGAUAGGAGCUCCUGCUGCAUGGUGGGGGUUGGAAAGUUUCGGCGGUUGGGGAUGGACUCGCGGCUUAUCAGCUUGUUGGUGGGGUAGUGGCUUACCAAGGCUUUGACGGGUAGCCGGCCUGAGAGGGUGACCGGCCACAUUGGGACGGAGAUACGGCCCAGACUCCUACGGGAGGCAGCAGUGGGGAAUAUUGCACAAUGGGCGGAAGCCUGAUGCAGCAACGCCGCGUGCGGGAUGACGGCCUUCGGGUUGUAAACCGCUUUCGCCUGUGACGAAGCGUGAGUGACGGUAAUGGGUAAAGAAGCACCGGCUAACUACGUG
rnacentral:rRNA from 1 species